UUAACUACUGAUAUAAUUAAUGCUUGGAGAAACUUAAAAGUAAAAUUGUGUUUAGUUAGGCCACAAAUUAUUCUAUAACAUUAAUCUGAAGUUCCGUUUUCUUUUCAGCUGCUGCUAAUCAAGUUUCGGCGAGCGUUUACUUGGGAGUGGGAAUAGUGCUCUUUAUCACUGCUCUAGUGGCAGUCUUCGUCAUGUACAUCUUCUUCAUCAUUUCAAGCGGGAAAAAGAAAAGAGCCGACUUGGGAAUAAUGAGAUGUUUAAUCUGUAAAUGCUGUGAGCCUAAACAACCUCCAGUCGAUCGCUACCAGCCACCCUACGACUACAAACUCCUAUCGCUCGAGAAGUGCGCCACAAACUCCUUCCACGUUCCACUCUACUCUCACCCGCGCCUCGUCCCCGUGGAGCCUUCCGAUUCCUUUGAACGUGCCCCGGUCUACAGAGAACUCGAACAAAUGACCAUCCAAACAAACUCAAUGAGUAAAUACGAGCAGUUGUUCUGAAAUGGAGUCACGUGACUGAUAACCUCAGUCAGAUACGAGCUCUCUUUUUGUCCAGUUCUUAUCAGAUAGUUUCGUGGUGUGAUCAGUAGAGAAUCAGGGAGAUAUUUGACAGGAUUGCUGAUCUGCACGUGUAAGAUGAGCAUUGGAUGGUACACGUACGUGAAGAUGUGUGCACGUGUGCGCGCGACGCUUUGCCGUACAGAAAGUGAAUAUCCACAGAGUCGCAGGGACAGACAAUAUAGUUGUUGCAGACUCUGUGUACAGAUCAUACUGAUAGCCAGAAAAAUCUAAAGACUUUUCACACACGUGGGACGCGUCACAAGUCAUCGCGUUAUCUCUCACGCGUUAACUCUACAAUGCUGCAACCAGGCGUGAGGUAUCACGCAUUUGCGUGAGGUAUCACGCAUUCGCACGUGAGCCUGCACGCGAUACUCUUGAGACGAUAUUUAUGCACCGCAGUGCUCCUGUGAGGCGCUGUGACGUUAGAAAGUGCAUGUUAUUUUCAGAUUCCUUUUAAGUUAUACUUUGACUCUUUCAAUCCGAGGUAAACGUUUAAUUUUAAUUUUGAAUUGAUAUAAUUUGAACGUUAUUUAAUUUUAAGAUAAAUUUACUUUUGGGGCUUAAUAUUUGAAUAACUAUUAUUUGAAGCUACGAACGGAAAUUUAAUUAAACUUUGAAUUGUUCUGAUACGUGGCUUGACUUUUUCCAAUUACGGAUUCUUCUCCGCAAAUAUGUUUAAACUUUUAAAAAGCUUGUUUUUGCAGAGCUGACAAAGCAUUAAAUAUGUAAAGCGGAUAACCAACACAAUUACUAAUAAUACCACGUCGUUAUGAUGUUUAAAAAGUCUAUAAUCUUUAAAACUGUCUUGAUAAUUAGGUAUUU